AAUAUAAUAGGGUCAAGAUGCUGCAAGAGACCACAGUGCCGCAUUUGAAGGGCUCAUUAGCUACAUAUAAACUAAGCUCAGUUUUCCAAGAUGGCCGAAAUGAAGAUAACAUCCAGCCCAGUUCGGCAACAUUGGCCUGAGGGUUUAAAUCCAAUUUGUCUAUUUGGCCUCUGUGGUUCAAAUACAAUUUGUUCCAGGUAUUUGCCUUUUAUUAUAUACACACAUAUGUUACAGGGUCAGAGUUUCUGUGUAUUUGUUCAUUUUUUUUAUUCUACCUGUUCGUUCCCCUCCCAGACCUUCCGGCAGUCUUCUGUCACUUAGUGUUACAGCACCAGUUGAAUUACAGAGGUCACAUUUUAGAAGUGGAUGACAGCUCAAGUUGAUGUCUGAUUGAAAAAAAAGAAAAAAGAAAGUCCUGAACGAAGUUCAUUUCCUAGACUAAAAGUGUGUGGGUGCGUGCGAACUGCAUACACCCAUGGUUACACACAGUCCUCGUCAACUAGAAGAACAGGUUGGACAGCUGGAGAUAAAGGGGAGCUGUCCUACAGUGUGAAUGGAAACCUCAGGAACACAUCAGAAAGGAGCAAUAAUACAUGGAGGUGGAAGAAAACCUAAAAACCCGGAGGAAACCCACACGGACACAGGGAGAGCAUGCACAGAAAAUCCACCCAGAC